rnacentral:rRNA from 1 species
GAAUAUUGGACAAUGGGCGCAAGCCUGAUCCAGCCACGCCGCGUGAGUGAUGAAGGCCUUCGGGUCGUAAAGCUCUGUGGGGAGGGACGAACCGCUGUUGGUUCAUAGCCAACAGCAUGACGGUACCUCCUUAGCAAGCACCGGCUAACUUCGUGCCAGCAGCCGCGGUAAUACGAAGGGUGCAAACGUUGCUCGGAAUUAUUGGGCGUAAAGCGCACGUAGGCGGCUUUGCAAGUCGGAUGUGAAAUCCCUCGGCUUAACCAAGGAAGUGCAUCCGAAACUGCAGAGCUUGAGUACUUAAGAGGAUCGCGGAAUUCCCGGUGUAGAGGUGAAAUUCGUAGAUAUUCGGAGGAACACCAGUGGCGAAGGCGGCUCACUGGUCCAUUACUGACGCUGAGGUGCGAAAGCGUGGGGAGCAAAC